GACGGACGCUGGCGGCGUGCCUAAUACAUGCAAGUUGAGCGCUGAAGGUUGGUACUUGUACCAACUGGGUGAGCAGCGAACGGGUGAGUAACGCGUGGGGAAUCUGCCUUUGAGCGGGGGACAUCAUUUGGAAACGAAUGCUAAUACCGCAUAAAAACUUUAAACACAAGUUUUAAGUUUGAAAGAUGCAAUUGCAUCACUCAAAGAUGAUCCCGCGUUGUAUUAGCUAGUUGGUGAGGUAAAGGCUCACCAAGGCGAUGAUACAUAGCCGACCUGAGAGGGUGAUCGGCCACAAUGGGACUGAGACACGGCCCAAACUCCUACGGGAGGCAGCAGUAGGGAAUCUUCGGCAAUGGACGAAAGUCUGAACGAGCAACGCCGCGUGAGUGAAGAAGGUUUUCGGAUCGUAAAACUCUGUUGGUAGAGAAGAACGUUGGUGAGAGUGGAAAGCUCAUCAAGUGACGGUAACUACCCAGAAAGGGACGGCUAACUACGUG
rnacentral:rRNA from 1 species